rnacentral:lncRNA from 1 species
GGUGCAUGUUUAUUGAGUCUAAGCAUAAAAAAAGGAUAUUGGAAGCUAUCAGGGCCAUUAUGUACAUAUAAAAGUAGGAUUUUCUUACUUUUUUAUGUAAAGACAUCCUUCAGUGACUCGGGAUCUGCUGGACUGCUCCUCUGCCUUUUGGUGGGAGGUGCUGGGGAGGCAGCAGACCUGCCAUUACAGAGAUUAAGUAUUCAGCCAUAACAAGCAUUAGUGUACCUUUUAUUUGCAUGGUUGGCCGAUAAAUAUGUUGUUUGUUCNNNNNNNNNNNNNNNNNNNNUUUUUUGCUUUCAUGAAUUGCUUGGAGGAUUUUCUUUCUUUAUUUUUUCUCUUUGUAUUGUUUACUCAAGUUAUUGGACAUCAAUGAUACUGAUAUUUUGGAUGCUAUAAUUUGUUUUCUUGUUUCUCUUUACGUCUAAAAUUUUUUUAACACCAGAGUGUUUAUGAUCACAAGUUGAUUUUGUCUUUCAUUGAAAAGAAUGUGUUCUCUUGACCAUUCCUGCCCCAUCACUUUUAACUGUUCUUCAUGUUUAUGCAGUUCAACACUUCCAGUUUUAUGCACCCCCCCUUGCCCCCCUCCGCUCUUGUCCUGUUAGAGGGAACUAUAGUGAAAAGGAUGAAGAACAGACUUAGGUAUGGAGGGGAUAAUUAUGUUAUGCUAUGAAAUAAACAUCAUCUAGCAAAGAGAACAAACCUAGUGUUCUUAGUUUCUCCAGAACAACCCUAAGAAGUCACUUGUUAGUCUCUCGAACUAAACAAAGAUAAUUUCUCAAUGCCAUCAAUUGUCGUGGCCUCUUUAGAUGUGAGACCCAUAAAAUGACAUCCUAAUAUCUCUCGCUCUCUUCCAAGACUUGGGCUUGCGUAUGAUAUUGAAGGAAGAUCUCUAAGUCUGCAAAUGAAACUUGCUAGAUAGUCUUCUACCAUAACUCAUCUUUUUCAACACUUGCUACUGUAAGUUUUUGCAGUUAGCAUGGCUGUGUUUCUUUACACACUUGGAGGAAGAAAACAAAUUCAUGCAUAACCUAAUGUAUUUCAAUAUUCCUCUGACUUCACAUUAAGAUUUCAGUUAAUGUAGUAGCUUUUGUAUUUCUUCUUGAUUGUAUGAGCCUGCAAAAGAGCUCAAGAUAUUGGGAAGAUCCUCAUGGAUCCUCACAACCUGUUUCUCCCAUUAAAAUGAAAAGAAAUUUCGGUCAACAACAUCACUUGCGGAAUUUUCUAUUAUUCUUGGAGGUGUCACCUGGGAAAUAAGUAACAAGUUUGUGUAUUUUGUUUGUCUAUGAAACAAGAUCACAGACAUUUUUAAAUGUUGAUGCAUUCUCUGUUGCAUCUAAAAAGCUUAUAUUUUUUUAAGCUUUGAUGCAUAUGUGUAUAUUUCAUUGCAUAGCAAUUAAAUUGAUCUCUUGUUACCCUCAUAUUUGUAACUUUCGCAUAUUUUAGAAUCCUGUUAUGUUUAUAAAGUUGAAAGACUAUAUCUUAACUUCUGAAUAUAUGUUAUAUUUGAAAUAAGCAUAUAUUUGACUGGUUUUAUUUUGAUAAUUGCUUGCACAGGGCAGAAACGGAGCAUGUUUAUUCAAACACAAUCUACACCAAAUCCAAUGUCUCUCAUGUUUUAUCCUGGGAAACCAGUUAUGGAAGUUGGAAGUGCUGACUUUCCAAAUGCUCGUGCGGCAAUGAACUCACCACUAGCUAAAUCCUUAUUUGGGAUUGAUGGUAUGCUUCUUUUUCUUUCUUCAUUUUUCAAUCAAUGCUUCUAUUCAUGAUAGAGUGCAUUCACUUUGUUAAUCUGGGCCAUUCUUCUUGUUCUGGUUUGAAGAUCAGUUAUUGUUGGUUAAUCCAUUUUAUUUUUCUUUAGAUUCUUGCCAAAGAUUAGUCAAUUAUUUUCACAGUUCACAUUUUCUCAUCCAUUCUAUCAUCUCCAUGUUCUUUAAUUCGUAUAGCCAUUUUUUGUACCAUUUUAUCACCCCAGAUUCCAACAGUGUAUUUUGGCCUUGUGCUUAUCUAGCCCCACAGCUAUGUAUUUUGGCAAGUGAUUGCAUGUCUUGCAUAUUCAUCAUUCUGUGAAUGAAAUGAUCCUUGUUCAAAACUACUCUCUCAUAUCUCCUCAUGUUUACGUUAUCGUGAUUAACUAUUUUGGCAAUAUGGAUCGGAUAUGUUUAGUUGAUUUUGGUAUAUCUGCAAUAUACAUAGAGUGAACUGAGUGCAUGUUCUAGCUCCAAAAACAUCAAAGAUAAUUUUUGACAUGAAAUUCUGUGAAUUCAGCUGUAAUUGGUGCAUGUCACUGUGUCAUCAAUAGAGAAUUGCAACUAAUAGGAAGACACCUGAGGAAACUACAGUAGAAUUUGUUUCUGGUCGGCAGCUUGGGACUGAUUUGUUUAUAUGUGUAUGUGACGUAAAAGUUAAAGCACGAUUUCUAGCCCUACAAGAAAAUGGAAAUAAUAGUUCUGUGUAGAGGGGUCUUGUAACCUAAUAUUAUGAUCAAGCACUCCCUAGAGAUUAUCAAGGUGGUACAAAUAGAUUGCACAGAUGUGAUCGAGCAUUAAUUGUGAUCCUUGUAUGACCCUAUAAUCCAUAUUUAAUACAAUUCUUGCAUGAAUCUUGGAAUCCAAAUGACAUGGAAGAUGGGCUAGUUAGGUCAAGCUUUUAACAAUAGAAGUCCUUUAUGCUAAAUUUGUUUGCCUCUUUGGUUACCUUUCAAUCUCUGCAAGUGUCUGUAUUGUUUUAGUGAUACCUCAUUGCUGGUGAUCUAGAUGGAUUUGUGUUUAUACUUGGUGCUUGACGAAAUUUCUGAUUUUUGGAUUGAUAUCAACGGACUUGCAUCAUGAUGCUUCACAAGCACCAUUGGAGCCUGCUUGGAGCCUAGAUCGACUUACUGAGCUUGGUCACAUGUUAAAUUAGAGAAGCAAAAGGGCACUUUGGGCAUAAACAGGGGUGGAACCAGGAUUCAUCCUUGGGUGGCCCUAGAGACACAUACAUAGAGAGAGAAAUGAAAAAUCUAGUCACUAGGUUUAUCAGUUAAAAAUAAGUUAGCAUUUUGUUGGAGUCUUGUUGGAUAAUUUCUUUUGCUAAAAUGACCAUUUAGAAUAAUUUUCAUAAUUCUGAUUAUGGCAUGCAUCGAUAGUAUACUUAAAAUCAUGCAUCAAGAAGUUCAUGAUUUCUAGUGCUAAUUCUCCGAGUUAUUAUAGUGAAAAUUGAAGCUUAUUGUUGGAUUAUUAGUGUUAUAGUAAAUUAUACCUAACAGCUUAACAAAUAAAUGAAUAUUAAAACAUAAAGAAGAAAUACUUGAGAAAUAACAGGUUUUUAAGCUAAUUUAGUCCCACAAAAGGAUUUUCAUACACAUCUGUCGGAUCAUUGUCUAGUAAAUGUAUCUCGAGUCAGAUAAAAUUAAUGAGUUCUCAUCUUAUUUAAGAUAACUUAGAAACAGAAGUUAAACUUGUUUUGCAAAUUGUUCUGCAGAGUUCUAUGCUUCUCCUCCCCUCUCCUCUUUUAUCUCUAGAAACCCAAGCUUGUAUCCAAGUCUUGUAGGCCAUACUAGAACAUUCUUCAUAUGUAAAGGAAAUAGGAUUCAUGAAGGGAGAGGAAGAGAAGGAUAAUAUAGGAAGUGCAAGAAACCAAAUAUGAAAGGCUUCAACAAUUUAAUUAUUUUUCAAUUUAUCUUUUCAACAAUUUUUCAAUUUAUCUGCUCAAAAAAAAAAAUUGAUUUAGAAAAUUUCCAUAUAUGAUUAACAACUAUAUCUCCUUAAAAUACUCCAAGAUUUUAGAAUGAUAUGUUUGGGGUUGGAAUUGAAUAUUAGGAGGCAAUAACUACAUGAUUUUAAGAUGGAGAAGUUAAGGUGUUUAUAUGCUGGGAAGAGGCUUGUUUCUCUAUGUAAUAAGUUACUACUGCUGCUACUACUACUACUGCAAGAAUGAAUAAGUAGGAAUCUUUAUUAGAUAAAUUUGGAAAUAUGCUAUAACCAUAUUUUUCAGAAUUUGGUAGCCAUGGCUCUUGUUAUGCGCCCCGCCGCCCCCCGCCCCCCCUCCCCAUGCCAGUUCUUACCCUAGGCAUAACAAGGGGGGCCAGUGUUAUUCAUGGUACUUGUAUCAUUGGUGAUAAUGGUAUAGUACUGAGCUAUUUAAUGCUUCCUACUUUAUUAUUUAUUUAUUUAUUUUGCUAGCUACUGGGUAUGGAAGUUUAUUUUUCAAUGAAAAGGGUGUUUCUUGUUUCUUUUUUCCCUGCAUGUGAUGUAUGUUGUCGUGAGUCUGAAGGAGUGAGUCCCAAACAAUGGGUAUGAGAUUGAUAGUUAUCAAACUUUUCUAUAUAUUUUUUCACUCUUCACCUAUGCUGCUUCCCAGUUGUGCGCUGCUGUUCUCUCUGGGUGUAUUUUGAUCAUUCUGCAAUCUGGAACCUUAAAAUAUUAUCUGUGCUUGCUGUCUCGAAUCUGGAUACAGCAUCAGCUGAAUAUGUCCAGACCAGGUUCUAUCAUGAACCUUUUGAUCUUGUUGAGUUCCAAAAUUUUCGGAUCUAUUCCUGAGUGGGUCUGAAAUUAAAACUUUUGUUGUUUUAUAUAUAUAUUGCCUUCAAAUCAAUUCCUGGAGGUCCUUAGGGAGAUCCAUAGCAUCCAAUACUACCAUGUGGAACACUUAAGUUCAUUAACAAUAGCGGACAAUCCAUCUGAGAGGAAUGAGGCAGAUCUGUACCCAAAAGUGGACUGCAUCUCAGUUACAGUGUGUGAAUGCAGUACCAUCAUUGCUAAUCCCUUGACUGUCAUUUGGUAAUUAUUGAUAUUUGCUUGCAUAAAUUGUUUCCUUUAAUUUCAGUACGAGCUGUCUUCUGAUGUUUUUUUAGCAAAAUGUUCGUAUGGCAGCAUUUUCAUCCUUCUAAGGUUGUUAUUUUGAUCAAGAUAGGGAUUUUGCAUCAUCGUAGGGUUAAGGAUUUCAACUGCUUAUGCUUGGUGUUGCAUUGUACUUUUCCUUGGAGUUGUCUUGCAUCACUCACCUUCUUAACGGAUAAGCAUAGAACUGUUAUGUAGAUAUGUGUUGUUUGAAUGACUUCUCUCCAAUUUAACACAGACGGAACUUGGGCUCAAGUCUUGCACGAACUAUACCGAAAUAGAAUAGUGUUAGUGUCCAGGUUUUGUUGAACCUAUGCUGAAGCAUUUUUUUCAAUAGGUUUGCCUUUGGUAUGGGUCAGGUUUGAAUCUUGACAACCAAAAAUGACAUCUUCAACUAAUCUUUCUGAAGUCAGGAUGGGUAAUUAGCAUUGGAGUUUGUUAUGGGAGGCAGUUGAACUUAUCCGGAAGUUGGAUUUAGACUUACGAGACAACCUGAUCCACAAAUAUUGGUCUAGAUCCAGAUCUUCUAUAAGUUGGGUCAAGUUCAUGUUAUAUUUGGGUAAUACCCAACCUAAGUUCACCUCUAGGCAUGAACCUGAAUUGCUUCUAAGGUGACGUCUCAAAUGUAACAGUAAUUCAAAACAGACUAAAUUUGUAACUUAUUCAAUUUGUGGGAAAACUGUAUCUACAGAAAACAAACACUAGAAUAAAGCUAAUGAAUAGGACUUGGACAAAGACCCAAUGAGUCCAUUCAGGCUUCAAGUAGACUCCAAUGGUGUUUGUGAAGAUCCUUUCAGAAGUUUGUUGAUAGUAGUAAAGAACUUAGAAAUCUCCUGAUUUCCAAGUUCUUAAGAGAAAUCCAUUUUUAUAUUGUUAGUUUGUUACCUUGAAUCUCUCAUUUAUAGCUGUAACGGCUGCAGUGGAGACUGGUUGCUUGAAGGCCUGCUUGACUAGUAUGGGGAUGAGG